AUUGAACGCUGGCGGAAUGCUUUACACAUGCAAGUCGAGCGGCAGCACGGGGGUAACCCUGGUGGCGAGCGGCGAACGGGUGAGUAAUACAUCGGAACAUGCCCAGUCGUGGGGGAUAACACUUCGAAAGAAGUGCUAAUACCGCAUACGUCCUGAGGGAGAAAGCGGGGGAUCGCAAGACCUCGCGCGAUUGGAGUGGCCGAUGUCAGAUUAGCUAGUUGGUGGGGUAAAGGCCUACCAAGGCAACGAUCUGUAGCUGGUCUGAGAGGAUGAUCAGCCACACUGGGACUGAGACACGGCCCAGACUCCUACGGGAGGCAGCAGUGGGGAAUUUUGGACAAUGGGGGCAACCCUGAUCCAGCCAUUCCGCGUGAGUGAAGAAGGCCUUCGGGUUGUAAAGCUCUUUCGGCAGGAACGAAACGUUGAGCUCUAACAUAGCUUGCUAAUGACGGUACCUGAAGAAGAAGCACCGGCUAACUACGUG
rnacentral:rRNA from 1 species